UGGGCGUGCUACCAGCAUUGAUUGUUCUCGGCUGGUUAUAGUGGUUCAGUUGCAUCGAAAAUACACAACCACUCUAUUAGCAAAGAGUUGCUGUGGGGUAAAGAUGAGAUUGGAUCCAAUAACUAUUAGGUGAAGGAUCCAAUGACGGUUUUAUACCUGCUUGUGAAUGGUGGGUCUAGCUUAACUAAAGAGUGUGGAAAAUAACUGUUAGGUGAGCCUACAUGACUUAGAGACCAAGUGGCUGCAACAUACUUAAAGAAGUAUCUAGACAAAGAGUUGUCCAUGUAUCGAUAUUCAUUCGUGUUACCAAUAACUGUUAGAUGAGAUGCACGGCAUCAGUAGGACCGCAGCAUCUAUUAAAAAU
rnacentral:lncRNA from 1 species